AUACGGAGGGGGCUAGCGUUGUUCGGAAUUACUGGGCGUAAAGCGCGCGUAGGCGGUUUGGUCAGUUGGAUGUGAAAGCCCUGGGCUCAACCUGGGAACUGCAUUCAAUACUGCCAAACUAGAGUGUGAUAGAGGGAGGUGGAAUUUCUAGUGUAGCGGUGAAAUGCGUAGAUAUUAGAAGGAACACCAGUGACGAAGGCGGCCUCCUGGAUUAACACUGACGCUGAGGUGCGAAAGCGUGGGGAGCAAACAGGAUUAGAAACCCCGGUAGUCC
rnacentral:rRNA from 1 species